GAUGAACGCUAGCGGCAGGCUUAACACAUGCAAGUCGAGGGGUAGAAGGAGCUUGCUCCUUUGAGACCGGCGCACGGGUGCGUAACGCGUAUGCAAUCUACCUUUUGCAGAGGGAUAGCCCAGAGAAAUUUGGAUUAAUACCUCAUAGUAUGUGAGGAUGGCAUCAUUUUCACAUUAAAGUCACAACGGCAAAAGAUGAGCAUGCGUCCCAUUAGCUAGUUGGUAAGGUAACGGCUUACCAAGGCUACGAUGGGUAGGGGUCCUGAGAGGGAGAUCCCCCACACUGGUACUGAGACACGGACCAGACUCCUACGGGAGGCAGCAGUGAGGAAUAUUGGACAAUGGGCGCAAGCCUGAUCCAGCCAUGCCGCGUGCAGGAUGACGGUCCUAUGGAUUGUAAACUGCUUUUGUACAGGAAGAAACACUACUUCGUGAAGUAGCUUGACGGUACUGUAAAGAUAAAGGAUCGGCUAACUCCGU
rnacentral:rRNA from 1 species